UUGAAACACAGUUUCCCCAUACGAGCACUGAAGUUAAGCAAUAUUGAGUCUGGUCAGUAGCUAAAUGGGUGACCACUCGGGAAUACCAGGUACUA